GAUGAAGAACGUGGCGAAAUGCGAUAAGUAAUGUGAAUUGCAGAAUUCAGUGAAUCAUCGAAUCUUUGAACGCACAUUGCGCCCGCCAGUAUUCUGGCGGGCAUGCCUGUUCGAGCGUCAUUACAACCCUCAGGCCCCCGGGCCUGGCGUUGGGGAUCGGCGGAGCCCCCCGUGGGCACACGCCGUCCCCCAAAUACAGUGGCGGUCCCGCCGCAGCUUCCAUCGCGUAGUAGCUAACACCUCGCGACUGGAGAGCGGCGCGGCCACGCCGUAAAACACCCAACUCUUCUGAAGUUGACCUCGAAUCAGGUAGGAAUACCCGCUGAACUUAAGCAUAUCAAUAAGCGGAGGA
rnacentral:misc_RNA from 1 species